AUGUGUGAUGCUAGUGAUUAUGUUGUUGGUGCUAUUCUAGGACAAAGAGUUGAUAAGAAAUUGAAUGUUAUUCAUUAUGCUAGUAAAACUCUAGAAAGUGCUCAAAUAAAUUAUGCUACUACUAAAAAAGAAUUCUUAGCAGUUGUGUUUGCUUGUGAUAAAUUUAGACCUUAUAUUGUUGAUUCCAAAGUAACUGUUCACACAGACCAUGCUGCUAUUAAAUAUCUUAUGGAAAAGAAAGAUGCUAAACCUAGACUUAUUCUUUGGGUUCUCUUGUUACAAGAAUUUGAUUUACAUAUCAUUGAUAGAAAAGGAGCUGAGAACCCUGUAGCUGAUAACUUGUCUAGGCUUGAAAAUGUGCUGGAUGACCCACAUCUUUAUAAAGAAGGAGUAGAUGGUAUUAUUAGACAUUGUGUACCUAAGCAUGAACAGGGACAAAUCCUACGGAAGUGUCACUCCGAAGCUUAUGGAGGGCAUCAUGCUGGAGAUAGAACUGCUCACAAGGUAUUGCAAUCCGGAUUUUAUUGGCCUACUCUCUUCAAGGAUGCCCGUAAGUUUGUCUCAUCUUGCGAUGAAUGUCAAAGAAUAGGUAAUACCGGUAAGCAACAAGAAAUGCCUAUGAAUUAUUCACUUGUUGUUGAACCAUUUGAUGUUUGGGGAUUUUAUUACAUGGGACCUUUUCCUUCCUCUAAUGGGUAUACACAUAUUUUGGUUGCUGUUGAUUAUGUUACUAAAUGGGUAGAAGUUAUUCCAACUAGUAGUGCUGAUCACAACACCUCUGUUAAAAUGCUUAAGUAA
rnacentral:rRNA from 1 species